rnacentral:rRNA from 1 species
UACAGAGGGGGCAAGCGUUGUUCGGAAUUACUGGGCGUAAAGGGCGCGUAGGCGGCCUUCUAAGUCGAACGUGAAAUCCCCCGGGCUCAACCCGGGAACUGCGUCCGAUACUGGAAGGCUUGAAUCCGGGAGAGGGAUGCGGAAUUCCAGGUGUAGCGGUGAAAUGCGUAGAUAUCUGGAGGAACACCGGUGGCGAAGGCGGCAUCCUGGACCGGUAUUGACGCUGAUGCGCGAAGCCGGGAGCAA